CCUGAUCAAAGUUUCUCAUUUAAUACAAACGUGUACGCCUUCAUGUUAUCAGGAUUUUCUCAGCGCUCCAUGAUUAUUUAUCCAGAGCAUCGUGGCUAAAUGAGCAAAUAUAAUCCUCAUGACAGAUUACACCCAGAAUACAAACUCUGAAAAGUCUAUUUCAGUCAAAAGUCCUAAUGAAGGAGGAGGAGGAGGAGGAGAAGGAGGAGGAGGAGAAGGAGGAGGAGGGGGGGAGUCGUCUCGCAGAAAGCGCACCGGCGGAGGUUGAAGUUGGGGGAGCGCACUGGCUGCACGGCGGAUGAAGCGCAGAGACUGUGAGCGACCGUGCGCUGCGGGCAGCGGAGGUGAAGUAGAGGAGGGGAGAGUAGCGGCAUGUGCACGAGGAGGGCUGCUUUGAGAGGGGGCGGCAGGUAAACGAACCGCCCCUCCCCGUUUUCUGAUGCUCAAAUCGAUGAUUUGCCAGCUGUGGCGCAGCUUGUCUCAUUGCCCCACUUUGGUUUUUACAGCCGCUCCUCUCCGACGCGCUGCUCUCCGGGGACACAGAGAGAGAGAGAGAGAGAGAGAGAGAGAGAGAGAGAGAGAGAGAGAGCUCUCACACUCAUUCAUUUUCAUAUUUACACGCCACAUGUUUGCAUGUCAAGAAGAAGGAGUAGAAGGGGGGGGUGGAAGUCCGCUAAACAGUGGAUUGCGCGCAGCAGCGUGCGUUUUGUUCCGUAUGGAGUGGAAGGCUGUUGUUUGAACGGCGGAAGGCAACCUGCCAGCUUUCCUCCCCGCACACCUGAGCGGAAUGUAAAACCACAGAGCCCGGUGAAGUCUGCUGGGCUUUAGCCUACAUCAGAUGAUCUUAUAGACAGAAAAUAGCGGUUUAUGAAAUAUAAGUCGAUUUGUUUGAAUGCCGAAGAGUGCAAA